rnacentral:lncRNA from 1 species
UGGAUGAUUGGAUUACAACACAUCUUGGGGAGAGAUGAUGUGAGUGAGCUGGAAGAGGUGAGUGUAUUUAGUUGUCAAUUGAGAUGAGACACCUCCACGACAUGAUCAAUCGAAUUUUCUUCCUUAAUAUAAGAAUAUUUGACUUUGUAUCUAAGAGAAACAUCUUCCCUAGAAUAUGCCUAUACUGAUAUUCCAGCACAUGCAUGAGGUAGCGAGUCGGUUGAAUGUAUCUUUAUCUUACAUCAUAGUCCUAACCUUAGUGUUUAAGAAACACCAAAGUCGAGCUUGAGGGAGAGUCCUCUAGAGCCCUCAUGGACACAAACACCCACAACGACCGAUCACUAUAUUGCAUGGGAUGUCAGAAUGUUGACAAUCAUCCCAUGCAUAAAAGAGUAGCACCAUGAGAUGAAUGGGGCAGAGGAUGAGUCGAAGUAGCUUGAGGCA